GUGGCCCAAAUCCGAAAAAAAUCUAAUCAAAACAAGAGAAAAACAAAAAUCUAAAAGCAAUAUCUAGAAAAAUCCGGAGCAACACUCCAGCUCCUCCGACAGCUUUCAAAUCGUCGGUGUUGUGACCGUCUCCGCCGAGCUCGUCCACCUCCGGCCACCAACAACAAUCUAUAGACACUCAUGUUUGGCUGUAAUCAUUUGGACAUCAAAGAUUUUCACAGAUGUUAUGAUUCAAUACCAAUGAAGAUUUUUUAAUAGAAUGUGAUAGAUCUAUGUUAGCUCAAGAGAAAAGUGACAAUGGAAACCACAACAAAUCUAAACAGCUCAGAAUGAGCUUGAAUUUCAUCUUUGAAAGAUGACCCGAAUCUCAAACCAUAUCAAGAUAAAUUGGAGUUCAAUCAAACUCUUGGGUGGUGGUGUAGUUGUCUUUCACUCAUCGUCUUCAGUUUUGCUAUCCGGAAAUAGAUCCUAAUCAGAGUAUCCCGUGUGAAAGCUGAUCUUUCUAGCAGAUACCACAUUAUUAGAUUAGUGGUGAGAUCAUGUGAUCCGUAUCGCCACUAGUUCUAUCUUUUAUUUUGAGUAUUUACUAUUAUUCAAAGACUUAUGAUGUAUAUUGGAUUCGACUAUUGUAUUAGAUGUUUUUUAUACUUAUAACGUCAGGUUUUGAGAUAUUUUUCUUCGUUGUCCC